UGAUGAUGAUGGUGGUGAUGAUGAUGACGACGACGAUGAUGUAAUUAGAAUGAAGUUUAUGAACUCAUUAGCAUCUUUUUAGCUGUCAGCAUCACCAUCUUUCUUUCGUCAUUAUCAUUAUAAUCGUCAUCGUCGUCGUCGUCAUCAUCAUCUUGACAG
rnacentral:pre_miRNA from 1 species